GUCUACAGCCAUCUACCCUGAACAAGCCCGAUCCUGUCCAAUCUUGGAAGCUAAGCAGGGUCGGCCCUGUUUAGUACUUGAAUGGGAGACCACCUAGGAAGACCAGGUGGUGUAGGCG
rnacentral:rRNA from 1 species